UCCUCGCCGGCGAGCGGCGGACGGGUGAGUAAUGUCUGGGGAUCUGCCCGAUGGAGGGGGAUAACCACUGGAAACGGUGGCUAAUACCGCAUAACGUCGCAAGACCAAAGUGGGGGACCUUCGGGCCUCACACCAUCGGAUGAACCCAGAUGGGAUUAGCUAGUAGGUGGGGUAAUGGCUCACCUAGGCGACGAUCCCUAGCUGGUCUGAGAGGAUGACCAGCCACACUGGAACUGAGACACGGUCCAGACUCCUACGGGAGGCAGCAGUGGGGAAUAUUGCACAAUGGGCGCAAGCCUGAUGCAGCCAUGCCGCGUGUGUGAAGAAGGCCUUCGGGUUGUAAAGCACUUUCAGCGAGGAGGAAGGUGGUGAGCUUAAUACGUUCAUCAAUUGACGUUACUCGCAGAAGAAGCACCGGCUAACUCCGUGCCAGCAGCCGCGGUAAUACGGAGGGUGCAAGCGUUAAUCGGAAUUACUGGGCGUAAAGCGCACGCAGGCGGUUUGUUAAGUCAGAUGUGAAAUCCCCGAGCUUAACUUGGAACUGCAUUUGAAACUGGCAAGCUAGAGUCUCGUAGAGGGGGGUAGAAUUCCAGGUGUAGCGGUGAAAUGCGUAGAGAUCUGGAGGAAUACCGGUGGCGAAGGCGGCCCCCUGGACGAAGACUGACGCUCAGGUGCGAAAGCGUGGGGAGCAAACAGGAUUAGAUACCCUGA
rnacentral:rRNA from 1 species